rnacentral:rRNA from 1 species
UACGAAGGGGGCUAGCGUUGCUCGGAAUCACUGGGCGUGAAGCGCACGUAGGCGGAUUGUUAAGUCAGGGGUGAAAUCCUGGAGCUCAACUCCAGAACUGCCUUUGAUACUGGCGAUCUCGAGUCCGGGAGAGGUGAGUGGAACUGCGAGUGUAGAGGUGAAAUGCGUAGAUAUCUGCAGGAACACCCGUGGCGAAAGCGGCGCGCUGGACCACUACUGACGCUGAGGAACGAAAGCUAGGGGAGCAAACAGG